rnacentral:lncRNA from 1 species
GCUCUGUUCAAGUGGUCGAGCCCAGAUUCAGGGAGAGCCCUGAGUUUUUUAUGUCAGAGUGAACAGGAGUGCUGGUUGAAUGAGACGGCCUGGCAGGGACACCAUAGGCCUGUUGGGCCCUAAGAAUACUUACAAGGCUGAAGAGAAAGACACAGAGGCAGCCUGCUCUUGGCAAGCCCGGGCAGGGUUCCCUUUGAUGUGAAGUCUUGCUUGAUAUUGCUUUGUGUGUCUGCAUUUGUCCUUGGCAGGCGGAAGGCAGUUCCUUUCCAACAAUGAGGUGCCCUUGUGUAUUGCUGCCAUCCACCAAAACAGUGAUGCAUGGAAGCAGCUCCCAGGGUGAUGAGACCUAGAAACACAUUUUGUCCAGGAAAGCAGUUUCAAGUGAAUGAGUUACGCUGAAUGCCCAGAAAGAACAAUGCAACUUCUGGAAAUCCCGUGAUACCAGCCAAAGUUGUCAAUGAAUCAAGAAUCAACUUCGAGGAAUGUUUUGGAAUAACACAGAGGGGAAUCCUGCAUUUAUUGAGCAGGGCAUUGGAA